rnacentral:misc_RNA from 1 species
AACGCACAUUGCGCCCCUUGGUAUUCCAUGGGGCAUGCCUGUUCGAGCGUCAUUUGUACCCUCAAGCUUUGCUUGGUGAUGGGUGUUUGUUCCGCUGCAACGCGUGAACUCGCCUCAAACCAAUUGGCAGCCGGCAAUCUGGUGUUUGAGCGCAGCACAUUUUGCGCUCUUCGCUGUGUAUUGCGGGCGUCCAUGAAGCCUAUAUUUUCACGCUUGACCUCGGAUCAGGUAGGGAUACCCGCUGAACUUAA